GGUUGAUCCUGCCGGAGGCCACUGCUAUUGGGAUCCGAUUAAGCCAUGCGAGUCGAGAGGGUUCGGCCCUCGGCAGACGGCUCAGUAACACGUGGAUAAUCUACCCUUAGGUGGAGGAUAACCUCGGGAAACUGAGAAUAAUACUCCAUAGGUCUAGAAUGCUGGAAUGCAUUUAGGCUGAAAGUUCUGGCGCCUAAGGAUGAGUCCCGGACUAUCAGGUAGUAGUCAGGGUAAUGACCUGACUAGCCUACGACGGAUACGGGUUGUGAGAGCAAUUGCCCGGAGACGAUAUCUGGGACACGAUAUCGGGCCCUACGGGGCGCAGCAGGCGCGAAACCUUCACACUGUGCGAGAGCACGAUGAGGGGAUCCCAAGUGAUAGCUCCUAACAGUUAGCUGUU
rnacentral:rRNA from 1 species